rnacentral:rRNA from 1 species
AGCGAACGCUGGCGGCAGGCCUAACACAUGCAAGUCGAACGGACCCUUCGGGGUUAGUGGCGGACGGGUGUGUAACACGUGGGAACGUGCCUUUAGGUUCGGAAUAGCUCCUGGAAACGGGUGGUAAUGCCGAAUGUGCCCUUCGGGGGAAAGAUUUAUCGCCUUUAGAGCGGCCCGCGUCUGAUUAGCUAGUUGGUGAGGUAAUGGCUCACCAAGGCGACGAUCAGUAGCUGGUCUGAGAGGAUGACCAGCCACACUGGGACUGAGACACGGACCAGAAUCCUACGGGAGGCAGCAGUGGGGAAUCUUGCGCAAUGGGCGAAAGCCUGACGCAGCCAUGCCGCGUGAAUGAUGAAGGUCUUAGGAUUGUAAAAUUCUUCACCGGGGACGACAAUGACGGUACCCGGAGAAGAAGCCCCGGCUAACUUCGUGCCAGCAGCCGCCGUAA